rnacentral:rRNA from 1 species
CCUACGGGGGGCAGCAGUAGGGGAUAUUGCUCAAUGGGGGGAACCCUGAUGCAGCAACGCCGCGUGGGGGAAGAAGGGUUUCGGAUUGUAAACUCCUGUUGUUAGAGAAGAUAAUGACGGUAUCUAACGAAUAAGCACCGGCUAACUCCGUGCCAGCAGCCGCGGUAAUACGGAGGGUGCAAGCGUUACUCGGAAUUACUGGGCGUAAAGAGCGCGCAGGCGGGGUAGCAAGUCAGAAGUGAAAUCCUAUGGCUCAACCAUGGGACUGCAUUUGAAACUGUGUUUCUAGAGUAUGGGAGGGGCAGGUGGAAUUCUUGGUGUAGGGGUAAAAUCCGUAGAGAUCAGGAGGAAUACUCAUUGCGAAGGCGACCUGCUAGAACAUAACUGACGCUGAUGCGCGAAAGCGUGGGGAGCAAACAGGAUUAGAUACCCGAGUAGUC